rnacentral:rRNA from 1 species
GACGGAAGGUGCAAGCGUUGCUCGGAAUUAUUGGGCGUAAAGGGCGCGUAGGCGGCCUGGUCAGUCGAAGGUGAAAUCCCCGAGCUCAACUUGGGAACUGCCUUCGAUACUGCCGGGCUUGAGUCCGGGAGGGGAGAGUGGAAUUCCCAGUGUAGCGGUGAAAUGCGUAGAUAUUGGGAGGAACACCAAUGGCGAAGGCAGCUCGCUGGGACGGUACUGACGCUGAGACGCGAAAGCGUGGGGAGCAAACAGG